UACGGGGGGGGCAAGCGUUGUUCGGAAUUACUGGGCGUAAAGGGCCAGUAGGCGGCCAACUAAGUCCGACGUGAAAUCCCCAGGCUUAACCUGGGAACUGCGUCGGAUACUGGAUGGCUUGAAUUCGGGAGAGGGAUGCAGAAUUCCUGGUGUAGCGGUGGAAUGCGCAGAUAUCAGGAGGAACACCAAUAGCGAAGGCAGCUCGCUGGGACGGUAUUGACGCUAAGGCGCGAAAGCGUGGGGAGCAAACAGG
rnacentral:rRNA from 1 species